AUACGUAGGGAGCGAGCGUUGUCCGGAAUUACUGGGUGUAAAGGGAGCGUAGGCGGGAGUGCAAGUCAGAUGUGAAAUACAUGGGCUCAACCCAUGGGCUGCAUUUGAAACUGCAUUUCUUGAGUGAAGUAGAGGUAAGCGGAAUUCCUGGUGUAGCGGUGAAAUGCGUAGAUAUCAGGAGGAACACCGGUGGCGAAGGCGGCUUACUGGGCUUUUACUGACGCCGAGGCUCGAAAGCGUGGGGAGCUAACAGGAUUAGAUACCCUGGUAGUCCACGCUGUAAACGAUGAUUACUAGGUGUGGGGGGACUGACCCCUUCCGUGCCGCAGUUAACACAAUAAGUAAUCCACCUGGGGAGUACGGCCGCAAGGUUGAAACUCAAAGGAAUUGACGGGG
rnacentral:rRNA from 1 species